UUUUUUUUUUUUUUUUUUUGUCCUAAACAGAAGUGGACUGUGAGCACAUGGAUAGUGAGUGAUAGAAACUGAGACGAUUUAUUAAAGAAGAGAAAGUCACUCUGGAAAAUGGAAGUGAUCUAGAGAACUAAGGAGGGGGAAGCCUGAGGCUGAAAACUCUUGCCCCAGAGCCAUGACACUUAUAGGUCAUUUAUAUAUAGCACCACCUUCCCCUGAGACUCCCCAGGCUUUUCUUUCCCAUGCUUUAUUCUGUAGCCCCAAAUUAGUUUCUACUCUUUUUUUUCCCAACUAGCUUAUUUCAUAUGUUAAUCAGAUGACUCACUCCACCCCAGUCUUCUCCAAUGGUAUCACUGUCUUCUGGGAGAUGUACAUUUCACAGAAUCCUUGAGGAUAACCCUCUAUUAUUGCAAUUCAUUCCUAUCAAUGGUAACCACCAAAAAAAGUGGGGAAUAUAUACUUAAGUGUUCCCUCAAAAACACCUUAUGGCCAAGGAAGGCAAAUAAUAAAACUAACUUAAGAAACUUAAAACUCUUCAUUCUCCCAUAGGGGGGAAAAUAUAUAUAUGUGUAUGUAUAUAUGUGUAUAUAUAAUUUAUAUAUUGAUAUAAUAUAUAUUGUUUUAUAUACAUAACUAUAUAUAACUAUAUAUAUAGUUAUAUAUAUAUAAAACUAUAUAUAUAUAUAUAUAAAACAAUAACAACCCAACAACCCAGUUUAGGGUUAC
rnacentral:lncRNA from 1 species